rnacentral:rRNA from 1 species
CCUACGGGAGGCUGCAGUGAGGAAUAUUGGUCAAUGGUCGGGAGACUGAACCAGCCAAGCCGCGUGAGGGAUGAAGGUACAGAGUAUCGUAAACCUCUUUUGUCAGGGAACAAAGGUGGGGACGCGUCCCCGGAUGAGUGUACCUGAAGAAAAAGCAUCGGCUAACUCCGUGCCAGCAGCCGCGGUAAUACGGAGGAUGCGAGCGUUAUCCGGAUUUAUGGGGUUUAAAGGGUGCGCAGGCGGUCUGUUAAGUCAGCGGUCAAAGCCCGGGGCUCAACCCCGGCCCGCCGUUGAAACUGGCAGUCUCGAGUUGGAGAGAAGUAUGCGGAAUGCGCGGUGUAGCGGUGAAAUGCAUAGAUAUCGCGCAGAACUCCGAUUGCGAAGGCAGCAUGCCGGCUCCACACUGACGCUGAGGCACGAAAGCGUGGGUAUCGAACAGGAUUAGAUACCCUUGUAGUC